CACGUUUGAAGUCUAAAUUAGUUUUUGCAAAUGCUGAAAUCACGAAUGUCAUGAUUAUAUAUAUAUAUAUCUUCCAAGUGUUGCACCCUAUUAUGACCGGUAGAACAGGAAUUAUAUCCACUUCCUGGUUGCACUCAGGACAAUAGUCUCACCCCAACAUUUAACGGUAGCAUUUACCUUGACAUAUUGAAGGAGCAGCGCAGUGGAGCCUGGCCCUCACCAUUUCGAAGGGAAGCGCCCAUUUACAAUUUCCUUUCCUUUGACCUUGGCUUUUCCUAAGUAGGUGUUUUAUUGAAUGAGGGCCUGCUAUUGACAUUGGAUGUAGCAAUCUGUUGGAAACCAUCAGUUAUUGUUAGGGCAGAUGCCUUUUUCAGGCGCCUACACUGAGUUCUGCUUUCCUUGCUUCACAAAGGUCUGAGGGCUGAUUGCUGUGGCUUUUAAUGUGUAUAACACGUUAGAUCUGAAUGCUUCUGAUUGAAACUUGUCAACUAAGAGUGGUUUUAGGUUGGACCAAAUUGGCAAAUGCUGAAAUCGUGAAUGUCUGUGACUAUAUAUAUCUGCCAUGGGUUGCGGGUUAUCAAGACUGGGAAUUAUGUCCACUUCUUGUUGUCACUGCAGGAGCUGCCUUUCUGCCAAUAUUUUCUUCUUAAUUUUCCUCAAGGUUUUUGCUUGAUUGUUCCUUUCUUUUCAGAGGUUGCGUAGGACUAGUGUUUCACCCCGAUAUUUAACAGUAGCAUUUCCCUUGACAUUUUGAGGAAGCAGCACAGUGAAGCCCUGCCCUCACCAUUUUGAAAGUGAAAUUUUAAAGACUCUCAAGCUAUGUUAUUCAAUUAUUUUGGAUGGUAGGAUCGAUUUAGGGGCCAUUAUAUCAUAGAAAAUUUCAUUGCCCCCUCUCCCAUCCUAGUUAAGGUAAAUUUGAGGCGUCGAAGUACUGAUGUUGUUUGCCUGUGACCUGAAAACAAUCUGGACAUUUUUAUGUCCUGUGGUAAACAUCGGAACUUGUUUGAGAUGAUGCAUUUCUGGCCUUCGUUCUCUUGUACUUUGAAUGUAUGUCUUACCCCAUGCACUUGAAAAACAAUUGUAUCAAACAGCAACUCAUUUCCUCUGCAUGGUCACCUGAUGGCCAAACACCAGUUUCAUGCUACUUUGUUCAAGGCUUUCCCUAAAGACCUCAAAAGUUCUGUCAAAGACUUUAAAACUAGUCUCAAGCAUUGGGUUAUUCUUUUCAAGGAAGUCAGUUGGAGAAAACUUGUACCGACUGUUUUGGAAUAAUCCUACUUGCUGCUUUGCUUCCUAGAAUGUCAUCAAUUGUUUGGUUCUAUAUGUUUAGAAGUGUCGAUGUUGCUCUGUGGUGAUCACUCUCCGUUACUGUGACCUGUACCGCUGGGUGCACAAAGGUUCCUAUUUCUGAUUUCCAGGUGCUGCUCUCGAUCUGUUCGCCAUUAAUGGACCCAAAUCCCAAUGACCCUCUGUACCAGAAAUCACACACAUGAGCAAGACCGACAGCGCAAAGUACAAGGUCCCCCCGGAAAAAGCUGGACGCCGAAGUAUGCGAUGGCCCAGAUGCCGCCGUGCGUAAUUCAAGUGGGGUUUCGUGUCUCUGAACUUUGCUCUUGCGGCUUGUAUCCGUUAGCAAAAGACCGUAAUCCGUGUCUUGCUUAGAUCAGGAGUAGAUGAAGUCUGUAAGAUGAUUACCCUCCUGAAAUUA